GGGUGCGAUCAUACCAGCACUAAUGCACCGGAUCCCAUCAGAACUCCGCAGUUAAGCGUGCUUGGGCGAGAGUAGUACUAAGUUGGGUGACCACUUGGGAAUUCCUCGUGUUGCACCCCUUU
rnacentral:rRNA from 1 species